GGCCGGUGCAUAAUCUUGCUUCAGAUUUCUCAUAUGAUAGGAAAAUAGUCAAAUACACAAUAUGACGUCUGAAUUGGAGCAUUCAGGAAAGUUACAAAUAAGAUGGGGACUCGAUAUAUAUAUAUAUUACAUGUAUUACAGAACAGUCUCUCUCCCAGCUCCCACUUGGAGAAAGAACGAAUAAAAUUUUACCCAAAAUUAGGACGACAAACGGAUGAAUCAUUUUGCAACUUGCAGGGUGUUUGAUCACGCUCAACUCUGGUCCUAAAAAGAUAAGUGGUCGCUAUAAAUAUAAUCCGGUCUAAAAGUUCAGAAUCGAAUCCCACAGAGAACUAAGGCUUAACUACAGCUGUUUAAUAUAACUAAGAAGACAAGCUCAAACAUUUUCUAAGUUAUUAAGAAUGUAAUGUUUUAUAUAUAUUCUAAACUAACUAACUAAUAAAUCUAAAAAGCAGUAAAACUAUCAAUUAACAAGGAUAAGGGUUGGAGACAAGAUUAAGGAGGCUUAGAGUUAUGAUUUAUCCAAUUUUUGGAAUCCUUUCCACUAUAUCUCCUAUAAAUUCGCCUAAGUAUUCUUUACUGAUCGUGAGUACUUCGGGUGUCGUAAUUCUCUUUCGAGCAACUACCACAAUUUACUAGACAUAUUCUUCCAAACUACGCUAGAUGACACUAAUUCACCACUCACUAAGAAGCGAACAUAUUAGUUAUUUAAACCGAUUCAGAGUCUAUAAACAAGAGUUAAAGUUAAACUAAACUGAUUUUAGAUCUUAUAGGCAUGAUUUCUAAUUUAACAUAAGGCGAAGCAAGCAGAACUUAUUUGUCAAAAGUGAAAUCCCCAUAGACAUGAUUUCUAUUAAAGCUGAUUUAGACCCUAUAGGUAUGAUCUCCAUUAUUAAAGCUAAUUUAGAUCCUAUCGGCAUGGCUUCUAAUUGUGUGCAAGUAAAGCAAACAAAAUUUAUUUGAACCAAAGCAGAUCCUAUAGGUAUAUUAUCCAACAAACAUAUUUUUGAACCAAACGAACCCUUAUAGGCAUGUCAUCUAACAAAACACAUUUGAAUUGAAAUGGACCCUAUAUGCAUGUUAUCUACCCCAACUUUACCCACAAUUUGUGACUACCCACCCUUUUUUCACUAAUCACCCCAAUGUUUGUUUACAAUAAUUAUUAUAGACCAAAAAUUGAACAUAAAUUAAAUAGAAUACAAGUUAAGCUAUAGGGAGCCUGAAGCAGACCCAAAACAAUUAUGGUGUACCAAGCCUUCACUAGUCUCAAAUACCCAAAGUUCCAUAGCCCAAUUCAUGUCUAGUUGUGUCAGAGUUCCCUAAGGACCUCAGAGAUCCUGGGCAGUGCUCACACCCAGACUUUCCUCAAACAAAAACUGAUUAUGUGUAGUGUGGAAGUUCCAACCCUGAUAUGCCAGAGUUCAGAGAGAUCUCAAUGGUCUCAAAGCAGUACACAUACCAGAGGGGCAUGACUUAGUAAUCUAAGAGUAAUGUGAGAGUGCAUAACGAUUUGAAAGAGUUUGGUAAAUAGUAUAAAGAAAGACCUUAAGAGUGAAAAGAGUUUUCUAAAAACAUGUACUGGUUUGAGUAAAAUAGUAGUUGGAAAAGCAUGAAAAGAACGUGCUGAAAUUAGAAUACCAAUCCCAGAACUGCUUCAGAAAACACUUUGACAAACAGACUUCACACAAGUAGAAAGGGGUAGGGGACACCUAGAAUGCACCUUAGUGAUAGCAAACAAAUACACAAAUUCCUCAAGAAGUUAUGGAAUUGACAAGUUAGUUACAAAGAUAUGUUGAGACGAAUACACACAACUAGAGUACCUUUGAAAGGGCUAGAUGUCUUAACAUGAUCUCAUUAGUGAAGUAGAGUAGGUAAGAUUUAGAUGAACAUACUAAACAAGCACUUCAUUAAGCAUUCAAAGUUUUAGAGAUACUAAUCACAUAAAGAACAAGCAGAAUUUUGACAUGCUGGGUGAGGCAAUAAAGAAACAAUGCAGCUUGGACAUACUAGAGAACAAAUAGGAUUCAUGUAAUUAUCUAAAGUAGAAUUGGGCAUGCUAAACAGUAUACUAGUUAUAGCUUUUAACAGAACAAACUUAAACAUGUUGAGUGAUACAGUAAUUAGGCAGUGUAAUCUAAGCAUGUUGGUUAGACAUUGAGCAUAUGACAGAAGAAUAGCAAAUAGAACUAGAAAUCACAACUAAUGAACUGUAGCAACAAAAAAACACAUAGUUUUGGAAUGAGAAUUGAAUCAGAACAUACCAGUUAAGGAGAGAACACAGAGUAUAGAGCAGAGAUGGUGCAAAUAGCCAGCCUUGGCUUACAACCGAUUGGAUUAGUGAGAAUUGCAAGUAACAGAAGAGAAUAGAGAGCUUUUGAGAGUGUGAGAGUGUGGAGGAACUAGUGU
rnacentral:lncRNA from 1 species